rnacentral:lncRNA from 1 species
UCCAUUUGAUUCUGGACCACCACUGAAAUAACAUGAUGUCUGGACUGACUUUUAAAUAGAGCUUAUUUUGCUGACUGUGUUUCUGUCCAUGGAGCUGCAUUACAUGGUGGCUGCUUCAUGUUUAAGAGGUUGCCAGAAGGUUUCUGAAGCAUCUCUUUUACAUUCUGGAAAACCUGGGAAGGUAUAUUUGUGAAAGAAUCUCUGAUUUCAUAUAUGGAUAUUUCAGCUCCUUUUUCUCGGGUUGGAAUGCCGUAUGUCCGUAAGAUGUUUGCCGGACCCGAUUGCACAAUGUUACGGCAUGUUUACACUGAAACGAGAAAUUUGCGUUUAUGCUGAGUUUAUUUUUGAAGGUUGUUCCUGGUUUAUUUAAAGCCACUAUGACCCGAAAACAUUGCGUUGCGAUUUUUGUUAUUAUAAAAAUGCAAUUUAAUAUCUUGUUAGGUGGUUCGGUAGAGCGAGGGAGCGUCCCUGUUUGAAUAUGUUCUUGUAUAAUUAACGAGGAAUUUUGGGUAAUAUAUUAUUGAAGUUCUUCGUUGACGAAACUAUUCCAUAUGACGAAAUACACGAAGCGAAACGAAUGGUGACGAUGAAAUAGUGGGGUAGAAAUUGAUAACAUAUAUGAUCAUUUUGUCGACAGUGGUGGUUUGUACUCCUUAUCCUAUAGAAGCUUCUUGGAUCAAAUACCAACAUUGACAAGAUUGAAUCCUGCAGUGAAAGUUGAAAAACGUGAUUAUAUGAUGUUAUUCGGAGCGGAAUCGGAAUUGUUCUACAGAUUUUUAUACAAGUUUUAAUAUUUAUGUAUGUUUGUUUAUGUGCUUAUGCUUAUCCUUAUCCUUGUCCUAGUGUAAUAAUUUGUGCAGAGUUUGAUUGGGGUUAUAUGUAGU